ACCUGUAUGAAAUAGUAAUUAAGCCAAUCAAAUGUAUAGAAAUAAAUUUUCUUUCUAUUCAAAAUCCAUGGAUCAAACUAUGACAAAUCUCCCAGAAUAGUAGUAAAAAUAACCACUCAUCACAAAAUGUAUUCAAUUAAACUAAUCUCAUAGUUAAAGAAAUGAAAAUACUUGUAGAGCCCUCCUACACUCUUACUCCUUCCCAAAAUCAAGUGCACCUGAAAAUAUUUACUAAUAGAAGUGAGUUCAAAAGCCUAAUAAGAGGUUGACAUCAAGUAAAUUUUUACUUUAGAAAAUGGAAUAGGGAAUAUUUAUAGCAUUAUUCCAAUCAUACAAAGUAAGCAUACAUAACAAAUAUUAUUUUCAAAACAAUAUCAAACAAAAAUUUUCGAUAAACAUGCAUAUAUAUUCAAGAAUUCUGGUUAUUAACAAAAAUACUCAUCACAGUAAAACUUUACCUCAAAUGUUUCUAACGUGUUGUAGGUUAAAUUUGAACUAAUAUAAUGGUAUGCUAUAAUUCACUAAGUACCCUACUUAUUGAAUUUACUCGAGUAAUAAAAGUCAAAAUAUUUUUCCUUAUUUAUUAGGGUCAGAGAACAAAAAUGUAUAUAAAAAAUAGAAUAUAAAUAAAUUAAAAAUAAUUCUCAAUUUUUUGUACUUCAACAUUAUCUGAACAAUUUUCAGAAUUUACAAAAGAAUAUACAUUAUCAUUCAUAAUUAAAAAUAUAUGUUCACAAUAACCCCUUGCUUGUUCUAAUAUCUUCAUUAAAAUAAAUCUAAGUUUAAGAUUUCUAAUUCCAAAUUCAUCUAAAUUCCACCAAUUUUUUUAUUUACAUAUUUUCCAUUACUUCUUCUUAGUUUUAAUUUUUUUUUCUUUGUUGAAAUUAAAAUGCAUCUCUUAUCUAAAGUUUAGAAAAUACACCUUUUUUACCUUAAAUCUGACAUGUCUGAUGUCACUACCCUUGAUUCUCUAGAGUGUAUGAAAGAGUUGGAUGACUAUUCAAUUCAAAAUGUGUUUUAAAGUUUCAGAUUGUUGUUAUGAUUUAUAUUUACUUGAAACAUUUGCAUCAUGAAGAUUGGAUUAAAGUAGGGUGAACACAUGCACAACCUAUCCAGCUCCAUCCAUCAAGUAGAAAUCCUCCACUUGUUCAAUAUACUAAUGGUGAAACCUUUGUACCUACCAUCAAGGUGUACCACGUUUGAAUAGAAAAUCCAUAGCCUUGCUCCCGAGUCAGGUGAAGUAAGGACAAAUAGCAGUGGAUAUUCCUAUUUGCCUCUUUUGAGGGAAAUUAUGUUCAUAUAAAUUCAAGUCGAGACAUCUCCAAACUAAUGGAUCUCUUUGCAUUGUGUUUCAAAUUGUCUUGCAAGCCAACAUCAAAAGAAGCAAUUCCUUCCACAAAACAACUUAAACAAUGGACAUUUAAAACUAUUCCACAAAUUAAACAGUAAAGCGUAAAGAAUUUGAGAAAAAGGAACCUAACCCUUGAUUCAUCAACCUCGCCAAAGGCUGGAGCAGAGGGGGAUCGAUCCAGAUUCUGUCCCCAUACAAACGAUUAUCAGGAUCAGAAGUACGAGGAUAAGCCAUUCUUUCCUCGGACACAGACCCGAUUCCCGGACUUAUAGGCCCAUAAGUGAUGAACGUUGUUGUGUUCCGAAGGAAAUGGUAAACCCUAUUUCGCGACUAUUUUUGUUUUCUCUCCUGCUUAAACCCCAAGGCAAGGAUUCCCAAGAAAUAUUGCGCCACCUUCCAAGCUUUCCAUUUUCAUCCAAACCCUAUCCAGCCAAUCAAACCUGAAUAUAUCGCACUUAGGCCUACAAACAUCUGACACCAUUUUCAUAAAUACUACUAUCAGACGUCCACCAUAUUCAAGAAAGUAACUCGGCC
rnacentral:lncRNA from 1 species